GAUGAACGCUAGCUGCAGGCUUAACACAUGCAAGUCGAGGGGUAACGAGAGGAAAGCUUGCUUUCCUUGUUGACGACCGGCGCACGGGUGAGUAACGCGUAUCCAACCUGCCCCCAACUAGGGAAUAACCUUGCGAAAGUAAGACUAAUACCCUAUAAUUUCCUCAGAUGUCAUCUGACGAGGAAUAAAGAUUUAUCGGUUGUGGAUGGGGAUGCGUCUGAUUAGCUUGUUGGCGGGGUAACGGCCCACCAAGGCAACGGUCAGUAGGGGUUCUGAGAGGAAGGGCCCCCACAUUGGAACUGAGACACGGUCCAAACUCCUACGGGAGGCAGCAGUGAGGUAUACUGGUCAAUGGGCGGAAGCCUGAACCAGCCAAGUAGCGUGCAGGAUGACGGCCCUAUGGGUUGUAAACUGCUUUUAUACAGGAAUAAAGUUAGCCACGUGUGGUUAUUUGUAGGUACUGUAUGAAUAAGGACCGGCUAAUUCCGUGCCAGCCGCCGCGGUAA
rnacentral:rRNA from 1 species